rnacentral:rRNA from 1 species
GGUUAAGUGACUAAGCGUACACGGUGGAUGCCUUGGCAGUCAGAGGCGAUGAAGGACGUAGUAACUUGCGAUAAGCGUAGAUGAGGCAGUAACASCCACUUGAGUCUACGAUUUCCGAAUGGGGAAACCCACUGGCAUAAGCCAGUAUCAUUGAGUGAAUACAUAGCUCAAUGAAGCGAACCGGGAGAACUGAAACAUCUAAGUACCCCGAGGAAAAGAAAUCAACCGAGAUUCCGAAAGUAGCGGCGAGCGAAAUUKGRUUAGCCCUUAAGCUUUACAUGUGUUAGACGAACGGUCUGGAAAGUCCGACGAUACAGGGUGAUAGUCCCGUAGUUGWCGAUGCAUGUUCAGUGAAAUCGAGUAGGGCGGGACACGUGUUAUCCUGUCUGAAUAUGGGGGGACCAUCCUWCCAAGGCURRAUACUCCUGACUGACCGAUAGUGAACCAGUACCGUGAGGGRRAGSCGMAAAGAACCCCUGUGAGGGGAGUGAAAUAGAACCUGAAACCGUGUACGUACAARCAGUAGGAGCACCUUCGUGGUGUGACUKCGUACCUUUUGUAUWAUGGGUCAGCGACUUAUAUUCAGUGGCAAGGUUAACCAUCUAGGGGAGCCGUAGGGAAMCCGAGUCUUAACUGGGCSCCAUAGUCUCUGGAUAUAGACCCGAAACCGAGUGAUCUAGCCAUGGGCAGGUUGAAGGUUGAGUAACAUCAACUGGAGGACCGAACCGACUAAUGUUGAAAAAUUAGCGGAUGACUUGUGGCUAGGGGUGAAAGGCCAAUCAAACUCGGAGAUAGCUGGUUCUCCCCGAAAGCUAUUUAGGUAGCGCCUCGGACGAAUACUACUGGGGGUAGAGCACUGUUAAGGCUAGGGGGUCAUCCCGACUUACCAACCCUUUGCAAACUCCGAAUACCAGUAAGUACUAUCCGGGAGACACACGGCGGGUGCUAACGUCCGUCGUGGAGAGGGAAACAACCCAGACCGCCAGCUAAGGUCCCAAAUUACAGCUAAGUGGGAAACGAUGUGGGAAGGCUUAGACAGCUAGGAUGUUGRCUUAGAAGCAGCCAUCAUUUAAAGAAA